ensembl:lncRNA
CUCCUACCAUGUGUUUACGUUCGAGUCAUACCUGAAACGUGAACUUUUUACAUGCAAAUGCACAUUGCAGGUGUCUGGCUUUGUUUCUUAUCAACCUGUACAGUUUGAAGGAGACGUCCGUUUCGGAUAACUCAUUUGUAGACAUCUUAUUUUGGAUAAGUCCAUCAUGAAUGAAGGACAAACUUAGCGUACUGUAACCUUUUCACUACUUUGUCCUGAGAACGUGAUCAAUAUCAACAUGAUGAUCGAAACGAGCCGGUGGAGCUUGGUUGCGGAUAUUUUCUUUUCCUCGAACAAAACGGACAAGCAAAUCACGCAUUGCCUCUGUUCCAGAGCCUUUGUACAGGACCGUGAAUUAUAUUGCUCUGACAACAGAUACCUCAACUCUAACAAGGCCACAUCUGAACCGCAAGAUCAUGAAGACUUUGAAGAAGAUGAAGGAGAUGUAGUGGACGAUGAGGUUGAGGAGGAGGAGGAGGAGGAGGAAGAGGAGGAGGAGG